UCACUCAGUGCUGUGUAUAAAUUCACACGCAGCUUCCUUUGCCGUGUUGGGCAAGGAAAGGAGUGGCUUUAAUCUCUUUUUUUUUUCGUAUUUUGAGGAUAUUCGCAGAUAAUUCGAGUGUCAAACGGACCGGUAAAGAGUUUCCAAGUACAAUGAAGGUUGCUGCAGCUCUUUGGUGUCUCCAAGUUUAUUUGGCUGUCUUUAUUCUUGACACGACCAACUCAUCUGCCACCUAUCGCUGCGGAGUGAGCCCAAAUGAAGUGAUAAUAGUCGUAGUAAACGACGCUAAUUACGCGAACACGUACAUCGCGGAUUAUAAAGAUGACCCCAACUGUCAACCAAAGUUUAUUGGCUCACAAUCAAACUGGACUCAUGCGACAUUCACACUGGCAGAAAACUCCUGUGGAAUGACAU